GGAAUGGCAGGUAAUUUUACUGUUGACAGGACAACAGGCAUGUUUCCUGUUCGUUAUUAACGAGAUGAAGUAGUUAAGAUUGUACCAUUAGGCGGGGAGAGAUAUAUGUUAAGAGUGACCCCCCACCCCCUUUGAAUGUUACACAAGGUACAUGACAAAAACAUUUCAGCCACGUGGGAUAUAGUAUCCUGUUUAAGUACAAGGCACAAGAGAGAAAAUUAUAUUGAAAGUCGCCAUGCUGUGUGUGCUUCUGAUAGCGGGAUGUUUGAUCCUAUCUACACAGACCCAGUUUCAGUGGGACGCCUGCCCUGACAACUCAAAUGUCAUUACCACCUGUCAAGUGACUAGGGACAACUGUUUCUCAGAUUACAACUGUCCCAGGGGUUGGAGGUGUUGCUCGUACGGUUGUGGACGGACUUGUCAGCAGCCGGGUAAGUAGCACUCUAUACUAGUUACAAUGU